rnacentral:rRNA from 1 species
AGUAUAUGAGGUGAUUAUUGGAGGGCAAAUCAAUGCCAGCAGCCGCGGUAAUACUUGUUCAAGAGUAGUAUGAUGAUUGAUGCAGUUAAAAAGUCCGUAGUUUAUUUUUUAAAAAUGGGGUGUAUAGUGGGAAAGAUGAAGGCACCAAA